rnacentral:rRNA from 1 species
UACGAAGGGGGCUAGCGUUACUCGGAUUGACUGGGCGUAAAGGGCGCGUAGGCGGAUGGUACAGUCAGACGUGAAAUUCCUGGGCUCAACCUGGGGGCUGCGUUUGAUACGUGCUGUCUGGAGUUCGGAAGGAGGGUCGUGGAAUUCCCAGUGGUAGAGGUGAAAUUCGUAGAUAUUGGGAAGAACACCGGUGGCGAAGGCGGCGACCUGGUCCGAUACUGACGCUGAGGCGCGAAAGCGUGGGGAGCAAACAGG